rnacentral:lncRNA from 1 species
AGCCUCAGGGAGCUCUAGUGGAGAGACAAGAUUCGUGCAUGAAAUAAUUACGACUGUUGUAGAAAAAAGAAAAGCCUGUAGGUCUCCCUUCCUCCCUCCUUCUCUCUGUCUACCUCAGCAUUUCUGGGGUUCACUCUGCUCUGGGUACUGUGUAAAGGACUCCACAGCCAUCAACUUCCCUUCAUCCUUGCCGUGUCUUUGAAAGGGUCUCACUCUGUUGCUCAGGCUGGAGUGCAGUGGCGUCAUCACAGCUCACUGCAGCCUCCACCUUGAUUAAGCAAACCUCCCAUCUCAGCCUUGCAAAUCACAGAGCUGAGAUUUCUUUACAUCACAGUGGUUCAAGGAGAAAAACACAGCCAGAUCCUUCCUCAUCUCAACAUAAAUUAAACCCAGAGGCAGUCAGCGCCACAGUCCACACUCGUAACCGUUACACUCACCUGGAAAUAAAAGUAUUUUUGUGCGGGGACUGCAAGGACUAAGCCCGGCCGCACUCCGAGUUUCUCCUCCUCACAGUGACUCAUUGCUCAGGUGAGGAAACUGAGGCUCAGAGAGGGUCCGUGGCAUGUCCAAGGUUACUCUGCUGUUAAUUGUUUUCUUGGCACUCUCUCCCUUCUCACCUGUGACUACCUGAGUGUCCCCAGAGGCAAGGAACUAUGUGAGCCACUCCAGUGUUCCCAGCCCCAAGGCCAGGCACAGUGGACAUUUAUUGCUGAAUGAAUGAAUCAAGAGAGAGGAUCAGAAAGCUGCAGAGGAUGAUAGAUCUGCAAAAUUCUCCCUGGGUGAGGCCCAGGCUCAGCUUCCAGAACAGCUCCAUCUGUCUCCCACUCACUGAGAUUGAACUAAUGUCCCACAGUUGGACAGACCUGAAAUUGAGCUCUGUGAUUUUGGAUACCUGCCCCUCUGCUGGAGAUUCUGCAUGUCUGAGGUACCAGCCAUUGCCAGAAACUGGGCUAUGUUCUCUCCUUUCAUUGUGCCAUUUCAUUCUCACCCCAAAAUGAAAACACACAAAAAAAUCACUUUCUUCCCAAAGAGAA